rnacentral:tRNA from 1 species
AAUACAGACUCACUAUGAGUAUGCUAACUUAAUACAAAUCAUUUUGCUGAUAGAAUAUUUAGAUCAGUACACAUGCAUGAAAUAGAAUACAAUCCGACCUUAGCUCAGUUGGUAGAGCGGAGGACUGUAGUAGACGCAGAUUAUCCUUAGGUCACUGGUUCGAAUCCGGUAGGUCGGAAUUUGCUCCCACAUGAGAGCUUUU